GGAAUCUUCCACAAUGGGCGCAAGCCUGAUGGAGCAACACCGCGUGAGUGAAGAAGGGUUUCGGCUCGUAAAGCUCUGUUGUUAGAGAAGAACGUGCGUGAGAGCAACUGUUCACGCAGUGACGGUAUCUAACCAGAAAGUCACGGCUAACUACGUGCCAGCAGCCGCGGUAAUACGGAAGGUCCGGGCGUUAUCCGGAUUUAUUGGGCGUAAAGCGAGCGCAGGCGGUUUCUUAAGUCUGAUGUGAAAGCCUUCGGCUUAACCGAAGAAGUGCAUCGGAAACUGGGAAACUUGAGUGCAGAAGAGGACAGUGGAACUCCAUGUGUAGCGGUGAAAUGCGUAGAUAUAUGGAAGAACACCAGUGGCGAAGGCGGCUGUCUGGUCUGUAACUGACGCUGAGGCUCGAAAGCAUGGGUAGCGAACA
rnacentral:rRNA from 1 species